GAUGAACGCUAGCGGCAGGCCUAAUACAUGCAAGCCGAACGGCAAGUUUUGUAGCAAUACGGAACCUAGAGUGGCGUAAGGGUGCGUAACACGUAUGCAAUCUGCCCUCGAACAGGAGGAUAGCUCCCGAAAGGGGAUUAAGCCUCAUGGGAUCGUAGGAGGCAUCUUCCAGCGAUUAAAUUACAAGAGGUUGAGGAUGAGCAUGCGCAUGAUUAGAGUUGGCGGGGUAACGCCACAAGACGAUGAUCAUUAGGGGAACUGAGAGGUU
rnacentral:rRNA from 1 species